UACGGGGGGAGCAAGCGUUGUUCGGAUUUACUGGGCGUAAAGGGCGCGUAGGCGGCCACCGCAAGUCGACUGUGAAAUCUCCGGGCUUAACCCGGAAAGGUCAGCCGAUACUGCGGGGCUAGAGUGCAGAAGGGGCAACUGGAAUUCUCGGUGUAGCGGUGAAAUGCGUAGAUAUCGAGAGGAACACCAGUGGCGAAGGCGGCUUACUGGUCCGGUUCUGACGCUGAGGCGCGAAAGCGUGGGCAGCAAACAGG
rnacentral:rRNA from 1 species